UGGGGCUGUAGCUCAGCUGGAGAGCACCUGCUUUCAAGCAGGGGUCAGCGGUUCCGAUCCGCUCAGCUCACCA
rnacentral:tRNA from 1 species